rnacentral:rRNA from 1 species
UCAAGCUAGAAAGAGCGCAAGGGGAAUGCCUUGGCAUCAGGAGCCGACGAAGGACGUGACAAGCUGCGAUAAGCUGCGGUGAGCUGCACAUAAGCUUUGACCCGCAGAUUUCCGAAUGGGGAAACCCGGCAGAGCAAUACUCUGUCAGCGUGCGUUGAAUCAAAUAGGCGUACGCGGGGAACCGCCUGAACUGAAACAUCUAAGUAGGGCGAGGAAGAGAAAUCAACCGAGAUUCCGCUAGUAGUGGCGAGCGAACGCGGAAGAGGGCAAACCGGAGGAUUUAUCCUCCGGGGUUGUGGACAGUUUUUUAGCAACUGGAACUAGGAGAACGGUAUGGGAAGGCCGGCCAUAGCGGGUGAUAGCCCCGUAUCCGAAAGGGAAGGUUGUGCGACUGGAUCCAGAGUACCGCCGGACACGUGAAACCCGGUGGGAAGCUGGGGGGACCACCCUCCAACCCUAAAUACUACCUGAUGACCGAUAGAGGAGCAGUACCGUGAGGGAAAGGUGAAAAGGACCCCGGGAGGGGAGUGAAAGAGAACCUGAAACCUUGUGCUUACAAGCACUCAAAGCCCGUUAAAGGGUGAUGAGGUACCUUUUGUAGAAUGGUCCGGCGAGUUAUUGUUACUGGCAAGCUUAAGGCAUUCAGUGCCGGAGGCGCAGGGAGACCGAGUCUGAAUAGGGCGUAUGAAGUCAGUGGCAAUAGACCCGAAACCGGGUGACCUAUCCAUGGGCAGGUUGAAGUGGGGGUAAAACCCCAUGGAGGACCGAACGCACGCCCGUUGCAAUGGUCGGCGAUGACCUGUGGAUAGCGGUGAAAUUCCAAUCGAACUCGGAGAUAGCUGGUUCUCCCCGAAAUAGCUUUAGGGCUAGCGUUGGCUUAGAUUACCGGAGGUAAAGCACUGAAUGGGCUAGGGGCCGAUAAGGUUACUGAACCCUAUCAAACUCUGAAUGCCGGAUAAUUGAUGGCCAGCAGUCAGUCUACGUGAGAUAAGUCUCGUGGACAAAAGGGAAACAGCCCAGACCCACAGCUAAGGUCCCAAAGAUACGCUAAGUGGAAAACGAUGUGGAGUUGCGAAAACAACCAGGAUGUUGGCUUAGAAGCAGCCACUCAUUAAAAGAGUGCGUAAUAGCUCACUGGUCGAGUGACUCUGCGCGGAAAAUAUAACGGGGCUAAGCGUAACACCGAAGCUUGGGCUGCACAGCAAUGUGCGGGGUAGGGGAGCGUCGAAUAUGGGGUGAAGUCGCAGCGGAAGCAGCGGUGGACUGUAUUCGAGUGAGAAUGCCGGAAUGAGUAGCGAGAAUUAUGUGGGAAUCAUAAUGGCCGAAAAUCUAAGGUUUCCUGGGGAAGGUUCGUCCGCCCAGGGUAAGCCGGGAGCUAAGGCGAGGCCGGAAGGCGUAGUCGAUGCACAUACGGUUGAAAUUCCGUAGCCACCGAACCUUAAGUACACUGACACAUGGAGAUAGCGGGACCCGGGCGUUGGUUGACCCGGGCGUAAGGGACCGAACUUUAGUAGGGAAGUCCGCGAUGCUCUGUGGCGAGAAAAGGUGUAUGGUAUGCUAAGGUGCCCGUACCGCAAACCGACACAGGUAGAUGAGGAGAGAAUCCUAAGGCCAACGGGAGAAGGGUUGUUAAGGAACUCGGCAAAAUGACCCCGUAACUUCGGGAUAAGGGGAGCCUCCUACGGGAGGCCGCAGCGAAUAGGCCCAAGCGACUGUUUACCAAAAACACAGGUCUCUGCUAAAUCGAAAGAUGACGUAUAGGGGCUGACGCCUGCCCGGUGCUGGAAGGUUAAGAGGAGAUGUUAGCCGCAAGGCGAAGCAUUGAAUCGAAGCCCCAGUAAACGGCGGCCGUAACUAUAACGGUCCUAAGGUAGCGAAAUUCCUUGUCAGGUAAGUUCUGACCC